AUUGAACGCUGACGGCAUGCUUUACACAUGCAAGUCGAACGGUAACAGGCCGCAAGGUGCUGACGAGUGGCGAACGGGUGAGUAAUGCAUCGGAACGUGCCCAGUCGUGGGGGAUAACUACUCGAAAGAGUAGCUAAUACCGCAUACGAUCUAUGGAUGAAAGCGGGGGACCGUAAGGCCUCGCGCGAUUGGAGCGGCCGAUGUCAGAUUAGGUAGUUGGUGGGGUAAAGGCUCACCAAGCCAACGAUCUGUAGCUGGUCUGAGAGGACAACCAGCCACACUGGGACUGAGACACGGCCCAGACUCCUACGGGAGGCAGCAGUGGGGAAUUUUGGACAAAGGGCGCAAGCCUGAUCCAGCAAUGCCGCGUGCAGGAAGAAGGCCUUCGGGUUGUAAACUGCUUUUGUACGGAACGAAACGGCUCUGGUUAAUACCCGGAGCUAAUGACGGUACCGUAAGAAUAAGCACCGGCUAACUACGUG
rnacentral:rRNA from 1 species